ensembl:lncRNA novel transcript
UAUGUGCCCAGGCUGGUCUUGAGUUCCUGAGCUCAAGCAGUCCUCCCUCCUUGGCCUCCCAAAGUGCUGGGAUUACAGGCGUGAGCCACCAUGCUCAGUACUUGAGAUAUCUGAGGCAACACUGGGGAUUCUCCUGUACCCUGCUCCAGUUGAUUAGUCUACACACCCAGAGAUGUCAAGCAUCAUUUCACUGUGAUACCAACCAGGUACCCAAAGGUGGAGUACCACCUUCUACGGUGGAGCCCAUAGGAAGUACAUAGGAAGUACUAGUUACUUCCUAAGUAACUAGUUGAGUGUCCCAUGGGUCUUUAAUCCCCUCAUUCAGAACAGAAAUUGCAAUGUGAGAUGGAAUAAAAUUUCUGUUGGAAACAGAAACCUAAACACAUAUUAUGUUCAGGUUUAACUCAAACCCACAUGUAUUUGGUUGCUUAAAAUUUUCAUCUGUUAAGCCAUGUUUUCCAAUCCUUUCCCUUUGCAUUUGUUUGGAACUAUAUAUAAAUUUUUAAUCUGCA